rnacentral:lncRNA from 12 species
AUAGCUGCUAAUGCUAAACCCGUUCCCGUGUUUGUUUUGCUUCAGCUGAGUGUUACACCUUCCCUUCUUGUGCCUCAGAAUGAUGGAAAAUGUCCCUCCCAUGAAACACCCCUUCGGUAUAUCUCUAGACCGACUCAUCGACAACUUUUAAUUUCUCCCUCCAAAAACCUUGAAGGAAUCCUAUCUUAUGAUUAAUAGGCACUUGCAUCAUUUCAGUCCUAUGUGCUGUAUUAAGGAGCAUCUACAUCAUCAGCAAAUAUUUU